rnacentral:rRNA from 1 species
CCUUUGAUACUGGCGAUCUCGAGUCCGGGAGAGGUGAGUGGAACUGCGAGUGUAGAGGUGAAAUUCGUAGAUAUUCGCAAGAACACCAGUGGCGAAGGCGGCUCACUGGCCCGGUACUGACGCUGAGGUGCGAAAGCGUGGGGAGCAACCAGGAUUAGAUACCCUGGUAGUCCACGCCGUAAACGAUGGAUGCUAGCCGUUGGUGGGUUUACCCAUCAGUGGCGCAGCUAACGCAUUAAGCAUCCCGCCUGGGGAGUACGGUCGCAAGAUUAAAACUCAAAGGAAUUGACGGGGGCCCGCACAAGCGGUGGAGCAUGUGGUUCAAUUCGAAGCAACGCGAAGAACCUUACCAGCUUUUGACAUCCCGGUCGCGAGCACCAGAGAUGGAGCUCUUCAGUUCGGCUGGACCGGAGACAGGUGCUGCAUGGCUGUCGUCAGCUCGUGUCGUGAGAUGUUGGGUUAAGUCCCGCAACGAGCGCAACCCUCGCCCUUAGUUGCCAUCAUUCAGUUGGGCACUCUAAGGGGACUGCCGGUGAUAAGCCGGAGGAAAAAAAGGAUGACGUCAAGUCCUCAUGGCCCUUACAGGCUGGGCUACACACGUGCUACAAUGGCGGUGACAGAGGGAUGCAAAGGAGCAAUCCUUCGCAAAUCUCAAAAAGCCGUCUCAGUUCGGAUUGUGCUCUGCAACUCGAGCACAUGAAGUUGGAAUCGCUAGUAAUCGCAGAUCAGCACGCUGCGGUGAAUACGUUCCCGGGCCUUGUACACACCGCCCGUCACACCAUGGGAGUUGGCUUUACCUGAAGGCGGUGCGCUAACCCGCAAGGGAGGCAGCCGACCACGGUAGGGUCAGCGACUGG